rnacentral:tRNA from 1 species
GGGCCAUUAGCGCAGGCAGGUAGCGCAGCAGGCUUUUAACCUGAAGGUCGUGGGUUCAAUACAAAUCUGGGAUU